AUUCAAAUAGCUUAUAAACUAGAGUGUGACACUGAAGAUGUUAAGGAGAUAAACUUAUCUUUGAAUA
rnacentral:tRNA from 1 species